rnacentral:rRNA from 1 species
UACGUAGGGUGCAAGGCGUUGUCCGGAAUUAUUGGGCGUAAAGAGCUACGUAGGCGGUUUGUCGCGUCUGCUGUGAAAACUCGGGCGUUAACUCCGGCCCUGCAGUGGGUACGGGCAGACUAGAGUGCGGUAGGGGAGACUGGAAUUCCUGGUGUAGCGGUGAAAUGCGCAGAUAAUCAGGAGGAACACCGGUGGCGGAAAGGGCGGGUCUCUGGGCCGAUACUGACGCUGAGGAGCGAAAGCGUGGGG